GGGUUGUGAGGUUAAGCGACUAAGCGUACACGGUGGAUGCCCUGGCAGUCAGAGGCGAUGAAGGACGUGCUAAUCUGCGAUAAGCGCCGGUAAGGUGAUAUGAACCGUUAUAACCGGCGAUUUCCGAAUGGGGAAACCCAGUGUGAUUCGUCACACUAUCAUUAACUGAAUCCAUAGGUUAAUGAGGCGAACCGGGGGAACUGAAACAUCUAAGUACCCCGAGGAAAAGAAAU
rnacentral:rRNA from 1 species